rnacentral:tRNA from 1 species
CGGGUCGUAGCGCAGAGGUCGUCGCGCCGAGUUGACAACUCGGAGGACGCCGGUUCGAAUCCGGCCGGCUCGC